GGGGCUGAUCGGUUUCGACGUUGGGACCGGGGGCUGCGCUGUGCGACCCGAGUUGCUCAGACUCGCAAAACGGGGCAAACAAAUAACCGACACUGACAGUGUCCCUCUCGCAGCCUGAUCCGUCAGGUGUAGAGAGUCAUCGCGACCGGCAACGGCACGCGGGGCCAGUCCAUCGCAGCCCGGCAACAGAAGCGUUGGAGACGGUAGGGACAGACCACUGACGGCGGGAAAGACCGCUGACUCCGGGGAACAGUCCCGGUGGCAGGCCCCCUAGCGGGGCCGUCCGACCCGGCGGUGCCGCUGCCAUCGACGCCGCAAACCGGGAAUGGUCGUAUCACAGUCAGACACCGCCCAGCGGACGGGGGUUCGAUUCCCCCCAGCUCCACUU
rnacentral:tmRNA from 1 species